UAAUCNUUAGUUUUUUAAUUGAGAACUGGAAUGAAAGGUUAAAUAAAAAAUAAUCUUUAUUAAUAUUAAAAUUUUUGAAUUUGUUUUUUUAGUAAAAAAACUAAAAUAAAUAAAAAAGACGAUAAGACCCUAUAAAGCUUUAUAAUACAAUAAUUUAAUAAUUUAUUAGAAUAUUUAAAUUAUUUUUUUUUUAUUAUUUGAUUGGGGUGAUUUAAAGAUUUAUAAAACUCUUUAUUUUUGUAAUAUUUCAUAUUUAAAUGUGUUUUGAUCCUUAAAAUUUUAAGAAUAUAAAAAUAAGUUACUUUAGGGAUAACAGCGUAAUUUUUUUGAAGAGUUCUAAUCGAUAAAAAAGAUUGCGACCUCGAUGUUGAAUUAAGAUAAAAAUUAGGUGCAGAAGUUUAAUUUUU
rnacentral:rRNA from 1 species